AGCGUACACGGUGGAUGCCCUGGCAGUCAGAGGCGAUGAAGGACGUGCUAAUCUGCGAUAAGCGUCGGUAAGGUGAUAUGAACCGUUAUAACCGGCGAUUUCCGAAUGGGGAAACCCAGUGUGUUUCGACACACUAUCAUUAACUGAAUCCAUAGGUUAAUGAGGCGAACCGGGGGAACUGAAACAUCUAAGUACCCCGAGGAAAAGAAAUCAACCGAGAUUCCCCCAGUAGCGGCGAGCGAACGGGGAGCAGCCCAGAGCCUGAAUCAGUGUGUGUGUUAGUGGAAGCGUCUGGAAAGGCGCGCGAUACAGGGUGACAGCCCCGUACACAAAAAUGCACAUACUGUGAGCUCGAUGAGUAGGGCGGGACACGUGGUAUCCUGUCUGAAUAUGGGGGGACCAUCCUCCAAGGCUAAAUACUCCUGACUGACCGAUAGUGAACCAGUACCGUGAGGGAAAGGCGAAAAGAACCCCGGCGAGGGGAGUGAAAAAGAACCUGAAACCGUGUACGUACAAGCAGUGGGAGCACGCUUCGGCGUGUGACUGCGUACCUUUUGUAUAAUGGGUCAGCGACUUAUAUUCUGUAGCAAGGUUAACCGAAUAGGGGAGCCGAAGGGAAACCGAGUCUUAACUGGGCGUUAAGUUGCAGGGUAUAGACCCGAAACCCGGUGAUCUAGCCAUGGGCAGGUUGAAGGUUGGGUAACACUAACUGGAGGACCGAACCGACUAAUGUUGAAAAAUUAGCGGAUGACUUGUGGCUGGGGGUGAAAGGCCAAUCAAACCGGGAGAUAGCUGGUUCUCCCCGAAAGCUAUUUAGGUAGCGCCUCGUGAAUUCAUCUCCGGGGGUAGAGCACUGUUUCGGCAAGGGGGUCAUCCCGACUUACCAACCCGAUGCAAACUGCGAAUACCGGAGAAUGUUAUCACGGGAGACACACGGCGGGUGCUAACGUCCGUCGUGAAGAGGGAAACAACCCAGACCGCCAGCUAAGGUCCCAAAGUCAUGGUUAAGUGGGAAACGAUGUGGGAAGGCCCAGACAGCCAGGAUGUUGGCUUAGAAGCAGCCAUCAUUUAAAGAAAGCGUAAUAGCUCACUGGUCGAGUCGGCCUGCGCGGAAGAUGUAACGGGGCUAAACCAUGCACCGAAGCUGCGGCAGCGACGCUUAUGCGUUGUUGGGUAGGGGAGCGUUCUGUAAGCCUGUGAAGGUGUGCUGUGAGGCAUGCUGGAGGUAUCAGAAGUGCGAAUGCUGACAUAAGUAACGAUAAAGCGGGUGAAAAGCCCGCUCGCCGGAAGACCAAGGGUUCCUGUCCAACGUUAAUCGGGGCAGGGUGAGUCGACCCCUAAGGCGAGGCCGAAAGGCGUAGUCGAUGGGAAACAGGUUAAUAUUCCUGUACUUGGUGUUACUGCGAAGGGGGGACGGAGAAGGCUAUGUUGGCCGGGCGACGGUUGUCCCGGUUUAAGCGUGUAGGCUGGUUUUCCAGGCAAAUCCGGAAAAUCAAGGCUGAGGCGUGAUGACGAGGCACUACGGUGCUGAAGCAACAAAUGCCCUGCUUCCAGGAAAAGCCUCUAAGCAUCAGGUAACAUCAAAUCGUACCCCAAACCGACACAGGUGGUCAGGUAGAGAAUACCAAGGCGCUUGAGAGAACUCGGGUGAAGGAACUAGGCAAAAUGGUGCCGUAACUUCGGGAGAAGGCACGCUGAUAUGUAGGUGAAGCGACUUGCUCGUGGAGCUGAAAUCAGUCGAAGAUACCAGCUGGCUGCAACUGUUUAUUAAAAACACAGCACUGUGCAAACACGAAAGUGGACGUAUACGGUGUGACGCCUGCCCGGUGCCGGAAGGUUAAUUGAUGGGGUCAGCGCAAGCGAAGCUCUUGAUCGAAGCCCCGGUAAACGGCGGCCGUAACUAUAACGGUCCUAAGGUAGCGAAAUUCCUUGUCGGGUAAGUUCCGACCUGCACGAAUGGCGUAAUGAUGGCCAGGCUGUCUCCACCCGAGACUCAGUGAAAUUGAACUCGCUGUGAAGAUGCAGUGUACCCGCGGCAAGACGGAAAGACCCCGUGAACCUUUACUAUAGCUUGACACUGAACAUUGAGCCUUGAUGUGUAGGAUAGGUGGGAGGCUUUGAAGUGUGGACGCCAGUCUGCAUGGAGCCGACCUUGAAAUACCACCCUUUAAUGUUUGAUGUUCUAACGUUGACCCGUAAUCCGGGUUGCGGACAGUGUCUGGUGGGUAGUUUGACUGGGGCGGUCUCCUCCUAAAGAGUAACGGAGGAGCACGAAGGUUGGCUAAUCCUGGUCGGACAUCAGGAGGUUAGUGCAAUGGCAUAAGCCAGCUUGACUGCGAGCGUGACGGCGCGAGCAGGUGCGAAAGCAGGUCAUAGUGAUCCGGUGGUUCUGAAUGGAAGGGCCAUCGCUCAACGGAUAAAAGGUACUCCGGGGAUAACAGGCUGAUACCGCCCAAGAGUUCAUAUCGACGGCGGUGUUUGGCACCUCGAUGUCGGCUCAUCACAUCCUGGGGCUGAAGUAGGUCCCAAGGGUAUGGCUGUUCGCCAUUUAAAGUGGUACGCGAGCUGGGUUUAGAACGUCGUGAGACAGUUCGGUCCCUAUCUGCCGUGGGCGCUGGAGAACUGAGGGGGGCUGCUCCUAGUACGAGAGGACCGGAGUGGACGCAUCACUGGUGUUCGGGUUGUCAUGCCAAUGGCACUGCCCGGUAGCUAAAUGCGGAAGAGAUAAGUGCUGAAAGCAUCUAAGCACGAAACUUGCCCCGAGAUGAGUUCUCCCUGACUCCUUGA
rnacentral:rRNA from 1 species